rnacentral:lncRNA from 1 species
CUUUCCACAUCACCUUCUUCAAUAACUGAAACUCCCACAUUCACUACUCAUAUAUACAUAGAUCACCCAUUAACCAUACUAUGUAUCUUCAUUCACAAGUCAAACCACUUUAUAAUCAAUGAAAAUAUAUCACCCAACACUUGACCUGCUCUUGAUAUCUCCAUGUUUUUGCACUUUAAAAUAGCACUUUCCAUAAUUCAUCUACAUUUAGUUACUCAGGUAUAUUUAAAUUCCUAUUUAAUUUAAGUCUAGUUUGUUAGUUUUGUUUAUCUAUAGUACACAAAAAUGACUAGUAAGUGAUGUAAGUUUUUAAUUAGGUAGUUGUGUUGUGUCAAUGCUUGUACUUUGCUUAUUGUAUGUGGUAAUACUGGGGUUGAAGUCUUAGCAACCCCAAUGAAAGUAAAAAUAUAUUUAAGAUGAUCAAGUGGUGGUAAACUCCAUAUAAUGUUUGGUAAUUUUUGUAGAUCUAUAAAAUAAUUUCAACUAAAAUUGUUGCCCACCAAGUGAUUAAUAAUAUGCCAAAAGAAGUUUUGAAAUUUGCUAAGUUUUGAUGGUUUGGUCGACUGACCAUAACAUAUAUGAUAGGACACCAAGCCAACCAUUGUUGAAAAUAUUAGUAUUGGCUAUUUUGGUUAAGGGUUGAUGGUUGACCUUACAAACUAUUAGUCACCAGAUGAACCAUCGAGAGAACCGUUUGGAAUCAUAAGUUUUAUCUAGAAUAUACUUAGCACUAAUGAUUGGGUUGAUUUACCAUCAUGCAAGGGAUAAAUUGUCACCAAACACGUCAUUACUAAAAAAAUCCAAAUGUCAAUUGCUUUUCUUGAGUUCCUAUUUUUUUUUUACUAUUUCUAACUAGUUCCUACUGCAGAUACCAUGCCUAAAGGCUAUAAUAAAUAAUAGGUGGGGCUAGAAUACAAAAAGUAUGGGAGAUUGCUACAUCAAGAAUUCAAGAUGAGCCAAAAGUUGAGACCGGUGAAGCUAAGGCCCUAGCUAAUAAUACCAAUAAAGUGAUAUAAUGCGUAACAUUCCUCCUAGUAUGAAAAGAUAAAUGGUUCUUUAAAUUUUUAUUUGAGUCAUAGAAGGGAGAGUAUCGAUUGUUCUAGCUCUAGACAUAGUGUGGAGAUUUAAAUGGGGGACACGUCUAGCUCAAAUAAAGAAUCUACGAAAGAAGAGGGUGAUUUCAUCAUUUAAAAAGACUCGGAGGUUAGAGAAUUGGUUAAAUGGAUGGUGGAAGGUGCUAAAAAGAACUAUUUCGAUUGUCUUUAACAAACCCAGUCUAGAAUUAUAAUGAGACCAAUUGUUUAGGAAUGACGAAUACUAACAGAAGAUCUGCUAGACUAUCAUGAUAUUUAAAAGUAGUACAAUAACUAUGGAUUAAGCUGUAUGAGAAGUCCACCUAACUCUUAUUAACCUACUAUUGCACAAAAUUAUUCAUCAAUUAUUUAGCAGUCCUAGAGAAAGAAAAUCCAAAGAGGCAAAAUGCAUAUAAUAUAUAGAAUAGAACUGGAAUUGUAGUUUGGGGAGUAUUAGUAGACAUAUCAGACCACACCAUUAACCGAAUCUUAUUUGGUCAACUAUACACUGCCCCAACUAUUAUUCCAAACUUGCGCAUCGAAUAAUCACUUCUUCUACAAAAUGUCCAUUAUUUUCUGGAGUUCUGAUAGACAACAGAGAAUCAUCCUGACUAAAUAAUAAAGAAUGGACAAUUAAGUCCUCAUUAAGUUUCAAAAUAAAGUUUUGGUAGGUAGUGGUUAGGAUUUGACUAAUGCCUACCGGUGGGGAAUAAAAUCUAAACCCACAAAGAUGUUUUAUGGUUGCAAGUUUAUUAGGAGGGAUGAACAUUAACUUUGGCCAAGUGAUUGGUGAUGAUUUGUUUGUUAAAGAACAUUAUAGACUGAGUGCAUUUCUCAUUAUGGAAUUAUGCAAUCUAGAAAAGGUGCCUAUCAUUUGUGUAGUGGACAAUAAGGUCAGCAUGACGAAGAGGCUAGACAUUAUGAAGAUGCGAGAUGAACCAAAUUUGAUUUAAGGUUUCAAAAGCUCUAAUAAUUUGGGCCCGAAUCUCACCUACUCGAAAAGCAUCAGAUAUCCCUGCAGGUAUGCCAUUACUUCUAAUUAUUAUUGAUCCAGUGGGUACUUCUAUAGCACCUGGGGCUACAUUAAUGCCCACAAAUAUUGAGGGUACCGACAUUAUUUCUGCACCACCUAUUUUCUCAAAAUAUAGAUUUACAGCAAAAAAUAUUUUUAAUAUUGGUCAAAGCACAAAAGAAAUUUGAAUUGUAAGUGAAUACAUAGGAUAAGGAAUUGAAACCAUUCAUGGAUAAAAUCAUUGUAGAAUCUUUUUAGCCAAAUGCAAAUUUGCAUGUCUGUANNNNNNNNNNNNNNNNNNNNNNNAGUGAACAAUAGGGUGUGAGAACUGUCCAUUUCAGAUAUAACUAAUUUCAUGACCAAAUUAAAAUAAGCUCAAUUUGUCAUAGCCAACUUGUAUGAGAAUCCCAUCACUAGCAUAUUUGACCUAUAAAUAGUAGAGUUCGAAAUAAUGACAUAGAUGAUCUAAUGGGGAAGCCAAUAAAAAAUGAAGUAAAGGAAAUAAGUGAGAGUGGAGAAAGAAGAAGUGAAAAAUGAAAAAUCACAAAAAGAAAUUAAGAAAGAAAGUGAAACAAAGAAAGCAUUGAAACAACCACAAAAGGAUGAAGAAGCUAGGAUAAAAAGAGUGAAUAAUAUGGCAAAGGGCGUGUCUACAAGUUCAACAUAUGCAAGUGGGUCAACACUGCCUAUGUUACCAAUGCCUACUCCCACGCAUUAGGGUAUUAUAUAUUUAAGCACCCCGACCAUUGUUGGGGUCAUUAUUGUAGAAGUUGACGCCCACUAGUCCUUCAAAGACUUAUUGUACUCCCAAUUCUAAGGGCUUUACAAGUAUUCCACCCCUUGUACUUUUACUCUUUAUGAAUUAAUAACAACACAUCAUUCUUUUGGUGGGGUGGGGUACUUGUAAGUCUGUCACUGCAUGAGUUUUUGUUACUUGUGUUCAUUUCCCAUGUGUGUUAUCCAAUAGAACUGAUAUGUGUUGAAUUUGUGUUCUUAUUCUAGCAUAAAAGUAGAUUGAAUAAGUAGUUAUUUUUUUGAUAUAAAUAAGUGUACCCACUGAAAAUUUAUGGUUAUGCAUAUUGUUAUAUUUUGAUAAUUUACUAUUAUUGAUAAGUACUUGGCAUUAGUAGUCUUUAAAUAAAUAUGAAACAUGCUUAAUCUUGAGAAUGAGUCUGAUAAUUGGUAGCAAGCGUGUCAGUCAACACUGUGUGUAUGAGGAUAUACUUUUCAUUCUUACUUUGUGUAUACCUCUACAACUUUCCUAAUCCAUUUUGUCAGGUGAUAAAUUGCUUGCAUAGGAUGAUAUCACGGUUCUUUUUUGAACUUUGCCUAAAAGAAUUGUCCAAAUAUUGUAUAUAAUUCCUUAUAUUCUUGUUUUGAUCUUUUAUAACUUAUUUAUACAAAUUCUAACCUUUCCUUUAAUAUUUUUUAACCAUUAUUUUGGUCAUGGUCCUUUAUUGCAAAUCAUGGACCUCAACUCAUGCAAAUUUCCUAAGAUAAAAAUAGCUACUAUAGAAUAGUUUGAUGUGUGAAUAAUGGUAUGAAUAUAGUGGUAGUGAAUUAAAGAGGCAUUCUAAGUUAAAAAAUAAGGAAGAAAUUAUGAAUAAAAUGUUACAAAUUCUCAAAAGAAGGAGAGAAUCAUUGAAUUGUGGCAAACUCAAUAGGAGGGAUUUGUUAAGGGAAUGAGGAGAAUAAGGGUGAAUUUAUAAAUAAGUUGAUUUAUGGAAUAAUGUAUUGCAAGAAAUUUUGAGCCAUUGUUCUUAAAUAUAUCUUAACUAAACCCAAGCUUCAUUACAAGUUGAAGAAGUCCUACAGUGAUCCUUGUCAACAAGCUAUAGAACCUUGUAGAAUAGUAACAAAAAGCUCACUGUAUUGCAAAUACAUUGUUUGAAGUAUGUUGUGAAAGUGAGAUAUUUGAAUUCUAGUCCCUAAUAGUGUUCUACUUCAUGAAAGGGAUGUCUUUUCUAUGAGGGCAUGUUAAUAAUUUAAUUCUAGAGUGUAUGUAAUGAAACUUAUUUGUAGUGUAAUGCAAAGCAUAGAUCCCUACCAGUUUGAUGAUUUAUAACUCAUACAUAUAUUUCUAAAUAUGUUGUAAGGUCCAUUAGGCUAUCCAAUGAUUACUUAGUCUUUUGAAAUCUAAAUGCUAGCAUGUAUUGUGUUGUUUAAGUUUCUUGAGGACAGGAAAAUAUGUAAGUUGAAGGUGUUGAUGUGCCAUCUUAUGAUGACAUAUUUUUCAUCUUUACAUAAGGAUAAUUGUAUGUUUUCAAUCAAACGUUGGUAUUUUAAUGUGUUUUGUUUUCACUUAAAGGAAAUAGUGAUGGAAAAUGAUGGAACUUUGUCAUGAAAAUAGAGUGUGAUAGCUCUUUUAAUGGGCUGUUAGGUUCCUGAUGAUUUUUUGGACCUCCCAUCAAGCCAAAGGAAAAUAUAUCGAAAACUAAAGCUACUUUAUAGCCCAAAUGAGGGGACGUUUGGGUCUCAAUGGAUCGUCACCCCUACCUAUCGCGCAUAAAUAGUUCUACCCAAAAAUUCAAGUUAGGUAAAGAUAUAGUUGAUGGACCAUUAGGUCCUAGAUCGAUAUCCAACCUAAUUGUCAGUGUCAAAUAGAAUACCAUCAAAAGAAUAAUCCGAUGAUGGUUUUUUAGCGAUGAAUCCUCUCCCUUCUGAUGACCCACCAGGUAAUUAGAUAAGGUGGAAGUGGCAACUCAGCUUUGAUCUUUAAAACAAAUUUCUUUAGUAUAAACACCUAGUUUAGUGUUUAGAAUAGGUAUCUACCAUACAUAGAUAUUUUUAAUGUAUAUUUUCUCUAGAGAAGCAACUUUGAUAUGGUAAAACACAAGAUUAUUGGUUUUGAUUAUUAACUGGAAUUCAUAAUUUAUCAUUUGCAAGGCUUACUUUUCAUAUAAAAUUUAUUUAUUUCAUCUCUUUUCAUAUGAUGAGUGGCUAAAAACCAAAAAACUAGGGUUAUCGAAUCCUUGGUUAAUAAUUACAUCUAGGGUUCUAAUAUUGGCAAAAACUACAUCUCUAAGAAGUAUAAUGUAGUCGUUGUCAAAUAUAUAACCCAACAAAGGUUGGGGUCGAACAAAUAGGGAAUAGGCAAAAUAUUUCUCAUGUGAGGGGAUUUUGUAUGAACAGUAUCUAGAGCAACAAAUCUUUAUAGCUUUGGUAGAAAUUAAUAUGACAUAAAUAUUAGAACCGUGUUCCCCCUGAAUUCCAAAAUUCGUACUUAUUGUGCUCUAUCAAUCUAUCUAAAUUCCUUGCAUUCAAAAUCUUACAAGAUAUGUAUCACCAACCAUCUUGUGAAUGGCUUUGGUAAAUUUCACUCUUCACCUUGUUUACCUUAGUAUUGACUUACUAACCAUUGUCUUGGAUACCAGCUCAACUAUCUCCUUUUAGGUGUCAAGUAAAUCAGAUAAGAGUUGUAGCCUCAAAUUAUAUUAUGAAAUUCUUUUUCAAAUCUCAACCUCUUUUGUGAAGAUGAUCUCAACUACAGGCAAGUUCUUAACUUCUGAAUAAGUAAGAAAGUAUUAAAGUUAAAGAUGAUCAUAAUACAUACCUAAAUAAUGAUUUAGAAGGACCUUCCACUUUCUCUAAAUUCAUUAUUUUGCUAGGGUUCCCACAUCCCUAGUUAGGUGGUUUAGCCGCUUAUGUUCGUAAGAACAUCCAUAGAAUUCAUCAAAGGAAUUGCAUAAAUAAUCUGACAAUAAUUUAAGAAUAGAACCCAAAAUAGAAAAUUAUUAAUCAAUCAUAAAAACCAAGAACAAUGGAUUCUAAGAUCCAAAGUCGAAUAUCAUAAUCAAUUUAGCGUUGUGAAUGUAAAGAGUGUGUAAGCUAAUACAAAAACAUAAAAAGAAUAUUUAUAGAAUAAAUCAAAAUCCUAAAAAUCCUAACCAUAAUAAAUAAGGAAAACUUGGUGGGUGGCCACUUGGUAUUGGCAUUAGGGUUGGCACCGGUUGGAUAAUUGAUUGAGGUUGUUUGAUUAUGGCUAUAAAUUAUAUUUAAUUCCUUUGAUUUAUUCUUUUUCUAUCUUCUUAUAUUUAUGGAAUUCAACAAGCAUAGGUUGCAGGGAGUUUAUUAUUGGGUAUUGGGGGUGGUCUCCGAUCCCGAUUUGACUUGAGAAACCCAUACAACUAGGCCUUGGUUCGGGUUGUGUCAAAGGGUAUAUAAAUAUAUCCGAUUGGGGACUCAAACCUAUCUGCAUGUCAUGGUGACACGAACACCAAAUCAUGUAAUAAGAUGUAGGGAACUAGAACCUCCCAAUCAUAUGAUAAUAAUACUAUAAGGACUAAAACUACCUAGUCAUAUAGACCCCCGCGACGGUAACCAUAAUUUCUAGUAUUGGUCUCUCAGACCUCAACUUUCAUGACUCAGCUACACAAUAUUCAUUAAAGCCCAAUUAAAAACACUAUCACACAAUCCCAUUCAUCAAACCAUAUUUUACAUUAACGAAUACGUCGUUGGCAUCAUCAUACCAACUACCUUGCAAGGUAACAACACCAUGCCAAAACAAUUAAAUCUAUUGGUUGAAUUCACAACCCCUUGGUUCAGAUUUGCAAUAGCUGAUGUAAACAUGAACCCAUAGGGUUUACUUUAAAAUCAUAAAGCAAUAGUUUGCGAAUAGUAAAAUUUCCAUAUUUUUCAUAACUAAAAAUCAAUUUCACCAUAUGGGUUUGGGGUCAUAACUACUUCAAAAGUAAUAAGUUUUUGGAUAAUCACAGUUCCCUAGUUUAUUCACCAUACCCAUGCACCCAUAAAUUCAAAACCAUAAUUAAAGCAUGAUUAAUCAUAUGCAAACCAUGAGAAAUAUUAUUCAAUUCAUAAACAUCCAAAAUGAUCAACCCUUAUUUCAAAAAAAUCAUCAAUAUCUCAUGAAUAAUACUUUAAAACAUAUGUUUUUAACAAAUUAACAGUGAAGGAAGAGUAACAUUCAUGAAAUACCAAGUUUAUGGAACAAAUUCAACCCUUGAGCCCUUGGAUGUCCUAUUUCUUGAAAACCCAAAGCCUGGCUACUUGUGGUAAUUUAAGAGAGCUUUUGAAAGUUCUUUAAGGAUUUAACAAUGCUAAUGGGGUCGCCAAUAUGGUCUUAGGUCGUGCUUUAAAAAUUUGGGAAGAGGGGAAAUGCCCUAAGUGCCCUUAAUGAAGAGACUAAAAAUUAUCGCAAGUGAUAAAGGGUCACUCUAUGACUCAUAAGGAUACAUUACGAAAAAUCAAAAGGAAUCAUAGUCAAGAUGGAACCACCAAAACCCCAUACUUCUCUAGAUAAGAUUCAUACCACCAACUUGUAUCCAUACUUAACAUUUCGUAACCACUUAUCCUUCUCAAGACAAUAAUAAUUUGGGAUAACACACUGGACACCCUACAAUUGGGAUACUAUGACUCAUUAUGAGUCUUUACAACUCGUGGACUUAAGUAAUAAUGAGUAUAGUAACUUGGUCCACACUUACAUAACACCUUACGAAUUGGUCCUCAGAACCCUUAAGAAUUCUUGAUGACUUUUUGAUAGCCACUCGUACUCAGAGAAUAAUUCUAAUCAACUUUUUCUAAUUAAUUUAUGACAUAGUCCCUACGGCCCUUCAUGACUCUCUACUACAUUCCAGGGGAGUCAAAGACAAGAUAGUGAGGAUGAAAUUUCAGAAAUUUUUCAAGAACCAAAAAUCCGAGGCAUUAAAGAGGUAUUAAAGGAAAUACGUCUAUGAUUAAAAAUAAAGUUGAAUCAAUGUACCAAUCACAAUAUGACUUAUGAGCAUUUGAUGGAAACAUUCUAUAGGUAAUUAAAUUCAAACGUGAACCUAACAAUUGGUAAUACAAUUGGAGGUGCCUUCAUGGUUUACACUUUUAUUGAUGCAAAUCUGAUAUUGGAUAAAUAGACUAAAACUAUUAAACCUAGGAAUUCUAAAUAUUCUGAGGUAGCAAGCAACACUUAUACUAUGGGCAUGUCAUCUAAGAAAAACUUGAAGAGAAGAAGAUCAUGAGAAAGAUAUGGAAUACAUAAAGACUCAGAUGUAUUUAAUAACAAGACACUUGUUAUCUUUUAGUGUUGAGAAGGUGAAGGCAAUUAGUUCAUAUGGUAGAGCAUGUAAAUUUUAUUCAAAGGCAGAAUCUAACUACUUGAGUAACUAGGGGGUUUUCAAUCCAAUCGCCAAGGAAAUCAAGGUCAGAACAAAUAAAGAGAUGAUUUUUAUGACAAAUCAUUUUAUAUAGAUUUUGAGCGAGUGAAUUUGAAGAACAAAGGAGAUUUAAGUGGGCUAAAUUUACAACAAGGCAAUUGUGAUAAUUUUACAAAUGACUCAGUGAAACUUUCCAUAGGAGUUAUGAUGGCUAAGUUUUUAAAGUGAUAGAAUCUUUUGAUGCAAGUGUCAAAGAUAUUUAAAGUGACUUAUCGACUAUGAGUCAACUAUUUGAUUCUCAUUCUACAUUUAUCAAAAAGUUUAAGAAUCAAAUGAAUCAGUUUUUCCUCAGCCUUCAACUACUAGAGGAGUGGAACUUGAACCUAUCAAGCGAUCACCAUAACAAGUGGUAGAGUGUUACUUGAACCUUAUCUAAUAAUUCAACCAUAGUUAGAUGAUGUUGUAUCAAAAUAUAAAACCAUUUUUGAUAUUUAUUAUGCGAUAGGUAGCCUAGUUGAGUCUGAGUACAUGGAAGAUAUAGGUAAAAAGAAAGUUAAUGUUUGGCAGUCUUCCAAAUUGAUGAAUGAUUAUGAGUUGAGCAUGGAAAAAGGAAAAUGCUAAAACAGUGCUAACCUAAAUUCUUAUUCCUCCUCCUCUAUUUUAAUAGAGGAUGAAAAAAAUAGAUGGAGAUGGUAGUUCAGUGAAUUCAUGGCAAUGCUAAAGCAGUUAUCGAUAAAUGUUCUGCUGGUGGAAGCUUUGGAACAAAUACCAGGAUAUAAAAAAUUCAUGAAAGACUUCGUUACCAAGAAAAGAACUAUGAGUUGUGUACCAAUGUACAAUCCAAUCACUACAGUCCAAUUGUUUUGUGAUCAUUGGUCCAAAAGAAAUUCGAUUAUAGGGAAUUUACUAUUUCAUGCACAAUUGGUGCAUUAAGUUUUACUAUGAUACUUUGUGACCUUGGAGUAAGAACCAAUUUGAUGCCUAUGGCAAUUUAUCAACAUCUAGGGUUAGGAGCCCGUAAAGCCAAUAUCCAUGUAGUUAUUGAUGGUCGAUCAUUCAGUCAAACAACUUAUUUGAAUUCUCAAUAAUGCAUUAAUAAAAGUAGCAAAUUUCAUAUUUCUAGUAGACUUCAUAAUUAUUAAUUGUGAGGUAGAUUUGAAUGUACCCAUAAUCUUAAAUAGAUCAUUUUUAGAUACCAAAAAGAUAUUGGUAGAUAUUAAGAAAAAUAAGCCUAAAUUUAGGCUAAAUAAUGAGAAGGUGAAGUUUAAUAUCUCUCAAUUAUUGAAACAACCACAAGAUAUUGUGUUGUUUCAAUCAUUUAUAAUAUGGAAGAAAACAAAAUAGAGGUGUCUAUUAAAGAUAGAUUUUUUUUUAAACUUUGGCAACAGUGUUGAUGAGUUUUGAUAGCAAUGACAUUAAGGAUUAUGAGGAGACUAUUUAUUCAUUGAUCGGGAUGGGCUAAUAUUAAUAUACUCAUAAGAAGUGAUACCUAAACUUUAAAAAUAGGCCAACUAAUCUAGCUAAGCCAUUCAUUGAAGAGGCACCAGUGCUAGAACUGAAGGAAUUAUUGAGUCACUUGAGAUGCAUGCUUUUAGGUAAAAAAAUUAUAUUUCCAAAUAGUAUUGAUAUGGAUUUAGUUAAGUGGAAAAUAAGAGCUAUGGUAUUAUUAUUGAAAGGUUUAAAAGAGAUAUAGGGUAGACAAACAUAGAUAUAUUAGAAUCCCAUAAGUAAUCUAUGCUAACAAAAUACAACUACAAAAAGAGUGUAUCUCUAUUUAGCGUUAGAGAAGACACAACCCAGCAAUGCAAGAAGUGGUCAUGAAGGAGAUCACAAAGUGGAUUGACGCAGGGUUUUCUACCUAAUUUCUUAUAGCAAAUGGGUAAGACCAGUCCAGUGUAUCUGUAAUACCCCGAGAUUAAGGCCUUAAAGAUGUCCUAACGAUUGGGUGAAUCAAAACAUUUCUUACCUAUUGAAUUCUUGGAAAAGAUACUGGUAUAGUCAACUUAAAACAAGCAUAUAUCUCAUUAUACAUAGACUUUUUGAUCUUGUCACCUAUCAACAGAUAGAUAAUUGAAUUAUCUUUCCAACGAUACCAAUUUUUCCAAAAUCCAAUAUCGGAGCAAAGAGUUAUACCCAUUUUACUCAAGAAUGUCAAUCUGGAAAAGGGUGAUGAUGUUUUUGAUGGCCUGUCACAUUUCUGACGACGUCGUCAUGUUUCUAACGACAUUUCUGAUGACGUUGUCAGCCAUAGGUAGAAAAUUAUAAAGUUUGACCCUUUUGUGACGGCCUAUCAUAGGUCUGACGACCUGUCACGGAUGUCGUCAGCUAUUUUUUCAGCAAUUUAGAGACAUUUUUGCAAGGGUAUUUUGACCUUUUUCCAUCUUUUGGAGGCCUCUAUGAAUAUGAGAAUCCCAUCCAAACCCUAAUUCCAUUAUUUUCUCUUCCAAUUCUCUUGAGAUAAUAUAUCUAGGGUUAUACCAAGAAUACAAAUCUUCCAAGAAUCAUCCAUAAAUCUUCAAAAUUUCUUCAAGAACCAAGUUCCUCAUAGUGUGGGCUUCAAGAAUUAUUUAUUUCAAGUGUGGAUAAAGUCUCAAGCACUAAAGUUCAUCCAAUUUCAAAGAUUAAGGUAUGUGGGGUUUUGAACAAGAAUACUUAUUUUGUUCUUGUGCCCAAAGAUUUAAUUUCUAUUGAAUUUCAUGAAUUUUGCAAAGUGAGUUUACACCUAAAUUACUUUAUCAAGGAUUUAUGAGAUUUCAGCUAUACAACAUUGAAACAUAUGACUACUUCAUUGUCUUAUUUCUUAAAUUAAGAAUUUAUGUCAUGAGUUGUAUAUUGUUUUCGUGAAAUGAUAAUUUCUAAGUGAUUUAUGAUAAGUGUCAAGAUUUAUCUUUUUCUAUGAGAAGUUUGUCUAUUGAAUAUAUAUUGAUAUUGAGCUUGAGAGUGAAGAAUGAGUUCUAUGAUAUCUUCUGGAAGAUUUGAUACUUGAUAUGAUUUGAUAAGCAAGUGUACUUGAUGAUGAGAAAGAUUAUUUGGUGAUUUAGUCGAGUUAGGAAUCCGCAAGUUGAUUAUGAUUUAUAAGUGAGAUAUAUAUUGAUAUUUUGGUCUUCAUGGUAGACCCUUGAGUUCAUUAAGGUGGAUUUCCUAAUGCGUUCUAAGAUUAAGUUUGGGUGUAGUAUUUAGCACCGAGCGGGAAGUAUGGGUUCAGCGCAUCCUACUUCCCCAGAACUACGUGCCACUAUAGGAUUAAGAUUAAGACCCAAAGGCCAAGAUAGUUAUCACUAAAUUUAAGGUUCUACUCUAAUGGCAGGGAUAGAAUAGCUCUCCUCAACGUGGGUAAGACAUUGGACUCCAUGUAAGCUUACAUGGUUUAUGUCGGUUAUGAGAAACUCCCAAUUCUAUUAUAGUCCAAGUUUCAUGAGUUACCGAGUCACUCUAAGUCAUGAGUCAAAGAGUUUGAGUUGAGUCCAACGGUUAGUGAGAUUUAUGAAGCAUGUGUUAUUAUUGAUAAUUUGUGGAAAAUAUGUUUUGUUUCAGGUAACUCAAGCGAAGAGAGUCAUUAUUAUCAGCAUGCAUGAUUCUCUUAUACAUUUAUGAUAUUAUUUAAAUGUUGUCAGCACCCCCACAUACUCAAUACAUUCCCAAGUAUUGAUUCCCAUACUCUUCUGUGUUCUAUAUUUUCUCGUGAUAUAGGUUCAGGUGCUCAGUCUCAGCCGCGAUAGUGAUCUUCGAGUACCUCCAUCUACAUUUGUAUAGUUGGUAAGUCCUCAUGGUUUGAGGACCUAUGUCCCUGAUUUUUUUCUUGAUAGUAGAUGGUUAUUUAUUUCCAGUUUAGUACGGGUCAGUUGGGGAUCUAUCCUAAUGGCUCCUCAGUUUUAUGUAGUAGAGGCCUUGUCAUACUAGAGUACCAGUAUGUAUAGAACUUCAGCAUUUUGAUUGUACAGGAUAGUAUUUCUUUGUAUUCCAGUAUGUUCAUGAUAUGAUUAUUUUUCUUUAUUACAACUUGAUUAUUGUCAUAGUGAGUUAUAAAGGAGAUGACAGGCUCAGAGGGUUAGCUUGAGGUCAUGUGUGGCCUUAAGCACCAUGUGACGUCUUGGGAUGGGAUCUUAGGGCAUUAUAAGUGUGGUAUCAGAGCCUAAGGUUUAAAGAAGUCCUAGGGAGUCUGACAAGCCCCGUUACAUAGAGUCUUGAUCAUCGGUGUGUAGUGCACCACAUCUAUGAGCAAGAGGCUAUGGGACGUUUUAAGAAAAGUUAUUUCUUUCUUUCAGAAGGUUUUUGUGCCUACGACUAUUUCUCUCUGCUAUUAAUCUAGGCUCUCUUAUGACUGAAAAUGCCUCCUCGAAGGGCUUGCAGAAAAACCGAACGACCUCAACCCGUUGAUCCUUUAAAUGAGAUGGUGACUCAUGCCAAAUUUUGGGUAAAUUUUUAGGUGCUAGCCCAAGCAGUUACCACCAAUGCUCAAGCUAAUGUUUAAGUCGCUGUUCCACCUCCGUGAGAAGGUAAUUCUGUAGCAGCUCAAGUUCAGGAUUUUAUGUGGAUGAAUCCACUAGAUUUUUAUGGGUCAAGGGUAGGUGAGGAGCCACAGAUAUAUCUUGAUGAGGUGAAAAGGAUCACCCAAAUAAUGCAUGUAACAACGGAAAAAAGUGUGGAUCUAGCUUUCUAUCGCUUGAAAGAUGUUGCUUAGGAUUGAGUAGAAUUGUGGAGGAUGAGUAUAGGGGAGGAUGCCGCUCCCAUGACUUAGCAGUUGUUCCAGGAUGCGUUCUUAGAUCGAUUCUUUUCCCCAGAGCAGAGGGAAGAAAACUAGAAGAAUUUAUGAACUUGAGACAAGUCUCCAUGAUAGUUAAGGAAUAUUGUCUUAAAUUUAACUAGUUGUCUAAGUAUGCUCCUGGUAGGAUGGGUGAUUCCAAGACCAGUAUGAGUAAGUUUUUGACUAGCGCAUCGAGUUAUGUUGUGAAAGAUUGUAGGUCCGCUAUGUUCAAUAGGGACAUGGAUCUUUCUAGAUUGAUGAUACAUGCCCAACAGAUUAAAGUAGACAAGGUGAAAGAGGGAGAGAGGGAGAGGGAAUAAAAGAGUUAGAUCAGAGCAGCAGGGGUAUAGUUAGAGUAGAUUUUCUGGAGGGAUCCGUCCUCAAUUUCAGAGUCGUUCUUUUAUGCCGGCACUGUCAUCAUCUAGUACUCCCGCAUCCAGAGUCAACUGAGAGCAGGGUAAUAGACCUACUAUGUCUAGGUCUCAGGACAGUGUGAGUAAUAGACCUAACUUUCCCUCGUGUGCUAAGUGUGGUAGGACGCAUCCUAGAGAGUGUAUGGCUGAGCAAACAGGUUGUUUUGGUUGUGUUAAGUUAGGCCACAAAUUCAGGGAUUGCCAACAUACUAGACAAUGAAGCUGUGAUGUUCGUCCCAGUUAGGCUAUUAGUGCUCCUGCCCCUUGGGUUUGUCUUACUCCUCCUCAGGGUGCCUCAUCUAGUACUUUCGGUGUUCAGCGUUAGAAUUGCUUUUAUGCUAUACCACCCCGCCAGGAGCAGGAGUAUUCACCAGAUGUUGUUACUGGUACGCUCUGUGUAUUUCAUUUUGAUGUGUAUGUGUUGAUGGACCCUGGGUCAAGUCUUUCUUAUGUGACUCUGUUAGUGGCUGUGAAUUUUGAGAUCAAUGCUGAAAAGAUUCUUGAGCCUUUUCUAGUUUCUUCUCCAGUAGGUGAACCUGUUGUUGCUAAGCACGUAUAUAAGAAGUGUCCUAUCACUGUCCUUCACAGAGUUAUGUUUGGAAAUUUGAUUGAGCUAGACAUGUUUAAUUUUGACAUUAUUUUAGGUAUGGAUUGGCUUCACUCUUGUUAUGAGUCUAUAGACUAUCGUAGUCGUGUAGUCAAGUUUCAGUUUCCCAAUGAGCUAGCAUUUGAGUGGUCCAGAAAUUCUUUAUCUCCCAGGAGUCAUUUCAUAUCCUAUCUUAAAGCUGGGAAAUUGAUAUACAAUAAUUGCAUCUAUCAUUUGGUUUGAGUUAAAGAUACUACAUUCGAGACUCUGACAAUUUAGUCGAUCAGCAUUGUUAAUGAGUUUUAUGAUAUUUUUCCAGAAGAUCUCCUAGGUGUACCUCCCGAUAUAGAGAUAGAAGUUAGGAUUGAUCUUCUUCCCGACACUCAGCCUAUUUUUAUUCCUCUAAAUCAUAUGGCCCUCGCAGAACUUAAAGAGUUGAAAGAGCAACUCAAUGAUUUUCUAGAGAAGGGUUUCAUAAGGCCUAGCAUAUCUCCUUGGGGUGCACCUGUUCUGUUCGUGCAAAGGAAAGAUGGUUUAUUGUGGAUGUGCAUUGAUUAUCAUUAGCUUAACAAGGUCACAGUCAAGAACAAGUACCCUCUUCCUAGAAUUAAUGACCUGUUUGAUCAGCUGCAAGGUGCUAACUAUAUCUCAAAAAUAGACUUGAGAUCCGGUUAUCACCAGCUUAAAGUUAGGGAGUGUGAUAUUCCAAAGACAGCUUUUCGCACCUGAUAUGGUCAUUUUGAGUUCUUAGUCAUGUCCUUUGGGCUAACAAAUGCCCAGCAGCUUUUAUGGACCUCAUGAAUUGGGUGCUCAGAUAGUACCUGGAUAUGUUUAUUAUUGUGUUUGUAGAUGAUAAUCUUAUAUACUCCCAAAGUGAGAACGACCAUGCAGAUCAUGUCCGAAUAGUCUUGCAAACCCUUAGAGAUCAUCAACUAUUUAUCAAAUUUAGGAAGUGCAAAUUUUGGCUAAGGUCAGUUUCUUUUCUAGGUCAUAUUGUUUCUUAUGAAGGUAUUCGAAUUGACCCUCAAAAGAUAGAAGUUAUGAAAAAUUAGCCUUGACCUAUUUCCUCAUCUGAUAUUAGGAGUUUCUUGGCUCUAGCUGGCUACUACUGUUAUUUUGUUGAGGUUUCUAUUCCAUUAUGUUUCCUUUGACUUGAUUGACCCAAAAGAAAAUUAAAUUCCUAUGGUCUGACUCUUGCGAGAAGUAUUUUCAGGAGUUGAAGACUCGACUCACUUCGGCCCCUGUGUUGACCUUUCCAAAUAGUGUAGAUGAUUUUGUGGUGUACUGUGAUUUUUCUAGAGUUGGGUUUGGUUAUGUGUUGAUGCAGAAAGGUAAGGUUAUAGCCUAUGCCUCCAGACAGUUGAAACAGCAUAAGAAGAACUACCCGACCCAUGACCUCAAGUUAGCUGCAGUGGUGUUUUCCUUGAAAAUCUCGAGAUACUAUUUGUACGGUGUUCAUGUUGAUGUCUUUACGGAUCACAAGAGUUUGAAGUAUGUGUUUACCCAAAGAGAGUUGAAUCUUUGUCAGAGAUGAUGGUUGGAAUUGCUAAAGGACUAUGAUAUAAAUGAGUUGUAUCACCCGGGCAAGGCCAAUGUAGUGGCAGAUGCCCUUAGAAGGUCAUCCAUAGGUAGUGUAGCACAGGUCGAUGAAGAUAGAAAGGAGUUAGCUCGUGAGAUAAAUCAUUUGGCUAGGUUGGGAGUUAGAUUGAUUGAUUUAGCUGAGGUUAAUGUUUGGGUCCAGAAUAGUUUUGAGUCUUCUCUAGUUUUGGAAGUAAAGGAGAAGCAAGAUAUGGAUCAUAGUUUGGUCAGACUGAAGGAGUCAGUUAAAGACCAAAAGGUGGAGGUUUUCUCCCAAGGGGGAGAUGGUGUAUUGAGAUUUCAAAAUAGAUUAUGUGUGCCUGCUGUUGAAGAUUUAAGGCAGAGAAUUAUGGCUGAAGCGCAAGGUGCACGAUAUUCUAUUCAUCUUGGUGCUACCAAGAUGUACCACGAUUUGCGAGAAAUCUAUUGGUGGAAUGGUAUGAAAAAGGGUAUAGCAAAAUUCAUAGACAAGUGUACAACUUGCCAAUAGGUUAAGAUAGAACACCAAAGACUCAGUGGAAUGAUGCAAGAAUUCAGUAUUCCUACUUGGAAGUGGGAGAAAGUAAAUAUGGAUUUCGUGACUGGUUUACCUCCUUCUCAACUUCAUCAUAAAUCGAUUUGGGUCGUUGUAGAUAAGUUGACUAAGUUCGUGCCUUUUUUUCCAGUGCAUACAUCUUUCACCGCUGAGGACUAUGCUAAGUUGUAUAUUCAAGAGUUAGUCAGGUUACAUGGAGUUCCUUUGUCUAUUAUCUCCAACAGGGCUACUCAAUUUACUUCUCAUUUUUAAAGGGCUUUUCAGAAGGGUCUUGGUACCCUACUUCAUCUUAGCUCCGCUUUUCAUCCGCAGACCGAUGGUCAGGCUGAGAGGACCAUCCAGACCUUGAAGGAUAUGUUGAGGGCAUGUGUUCUUGAUUUCAAAGGAAGUUGGGAUGAACAUUUGCCAUUGAUUGAAUUUGCUUACAACAAUAGUUUUCGUGCUAGUAUUGGAAUGGCUCCAUUUGAGGCUUUAUACGAAAGGCGAUGUAGAUCACAUAUAGGUUGGUUUGAAGUGGGUGAAGCCACUAUGAGUGGACCUGAUGUUGUGUUUGAGGCUAUGGAGAAAGUUAAGCUGAUUUGGGAAAGGUUGAAGACAGCCCAGAGUCAUCAGAAGUCAUAUGCAGAUAUGAGAAGAAGAGCUCUUGAGUUUGAGGUUAACGAUCUUGUAUACUUGAAGAUUUUACCUAUGAAGGGGGUGAAAAUAUUUGGUAAGAAAGAAAAGCUUAGUCCCUGAUACGUCAGCCCUUAUAGAGUUUUUAAUUGUAUUGGGAAAGCAACUUACGAGAUUGAACUGCCUACAGAUUUAUCAGCUAUCCAUCUUACCUUUCACGUUUCUAUGCUCAAGAAGCACAUUGGUGAUUCUGUUGUUGUUAAUCCAUCAGAAAGUUUUGAUCUUCAGGAUAGCCUUUCAUAUGAUAAAGUUUCGAUUAAAAUCCUAGAUUAUCAAGUUCGUAGACGAAGAAAUAAGGAAGUUCUCUAGGUCAAAGUUCUGUAGUAAAAUCAAUCAGUCGAGGGUGCUACUUGGGAAGCAGAAGCAGAAAUGCGAACCAGAUACCCUCUUCUCUUCUUCGCGAGUUUAAAUUAAUCCAAAGGUACUAUUAUUCCCUAAUCCAUUUUCCUUCUAAUCCAGUGUAUUCAGCUAUAUGGUUAUUCUCUCUAUGAUUCAUGCAUUUUGUGAAGUAUUCGAAAGUUUAGAAUGAAGUAAGCCCUUUUAGUGAGUUGUUCCAUCUAUAAGUCGUCAUUUUCUCUUUUUCUUGGCCUAUUUAGCCACAUUUGAGGAUGAAUGUUUCCAAGAGGGAGAUAUUGUAAUACCCCGAGACUCUAACCAAUAGUGCAACCAUGAAUCAAGCUUAUGAGAAAUAAAUUAUAAUGUUUUGGGUUGUUUUCUGAUCAAGGAUGGUGUGUAUUAAGUCCUUAAGAUGUCCUAACGAUUGCGUGAAUCAAAACAUUCCUUACCAAUUGAAUUCUUUGGAAGGAUAUUGGUAUAGUCAACUUCAAACGGACAUAUCUCUCAUUAUACUUGGAAUUUUUGAGCUCAUGACCUAUCACUAGAUAGAUAAUUAAAUUAGCUUUCCAACUAUACCAAUUUUGCCAUCCGAUACCGGAGCAAAGAGUUAUACCUAUUUUACUCCGGCAUGUCAAUCUGGAAAAGGGUGAUGACGUUUUUGACGGCCUGUCACAUUUCUGACGAUAUUUCUAAUGACGUCAUCACGUUUUUGACGACAUUUCUGACGAUGUCGUCAACCUUAGGCAGAAAAUCAUAAAAUUUGACCCUUUUGUGAUGACAUUUUGUGACGUCCAAUCACGGGUCUGACGUCCUAUCACGAAUGUCUUCAGCUAUUUUUUAAGCAAUUUAGAGAUGUUUUGCAAGGGUAUUUUGGUCUUUUACCAUCUUUUGGUGGCCUCUAUAAAUAUGAGAAUCCCAUCCAAACCCUACUUCCAUCAUUUUCUCUUCCAAUUCUCUUGGGAUAAUAUAUCUCGGGUCAUAUCAAGAACAUAAAUUUUCCAAGAAUCAUCCAUAAAUCUUCAAAAUUUCUUCAAGAACCAAGUUCGUCAUAGUGUGGGAUUCAAGAAUUAUUUAUUUCUAGUGAAGAUAGAGUCUCAAGCACUAAAGUUCAUCCAAUUUCAAAGAUUAAGGUACGUGGGGUUUUGAACAAGAACACUUCUUUUGUUCUUGUGCCCAAAGAUUUAAUUUCUAUUGAAUUUCAUGAAUUCUGCAAAGUGGGUUUACACCCAAAUUACUUUAUCAAGGAUAUUUGAGAUUUGAGAUAUACAAGAUUGACACAUAUGACUACUUCAUUGUCUUAUUUCUUAAAUUAAGAAUUUGUGUCAUGAGUUGUAUAUUGUUAUCAUGAAAUGAUAAUUUCUACGUGAUUUAUGAUAUGUGCCAUGAUUUAUAUUUUUCUAUGAGAAGUUUGUCUAUUGAAUAUAUAUUAAUAUUGAGCUUGAGAGUGAAAAAUGAGUUCUAUGAUGUUUUCUGGAAGAUUCGAUACUUGAUAUGAUUUGAUAAGCAAGUGUACUUGAUGAUGAGAAAGAUUAUUUGGAGAUUUAGUGGAGUUAGGAAUCCACAAGUUGAUUAUGAUUUACAAGUGAGAUAUAUAUUUAUAUUUUGGUCUUCAUGAUAGACCCUUGAGUUGAUUAAGGUAGAUUUCCUAACGCGUUCUCAGCUUAAGUUUGGGUGUAGUGUUUAGCACCGAGAGGGAAGUAUGGGUUCAGGCAUCCAACAUCCCCAGAACUAAGUGCCACCAUAGGAUUGAGAUUAAGACCCAAAGGCUAAGACAGUUAUCACUAAAGUUAAGGUUCUACUCCGAUGGAAAGGAUAGAACAACUCUCCCCAACGUGGGCAAGACAUUGGACUCCAUGUAAGCUCACAUGGUUUAUGUCGGUUAUAAGAAACUCCCAAUUCUAUUAUAGUCCAAGUUUCAUGAGUUACUAAGUCACUCUAAGUCAUGAGUCUAAGACUUUGAGUUGAGUCCAACGGUUAGUGAGAUUUAUGAAGCAUGUGUUAUUAUUGAUGAUUUAUGAAAAAUAUGUUUCAGGUAAUUCAAGUGAAGAGAGUCAUUAUAAUCAGCAUGGAUGAUUUUCUUAUACAUUUAUGAUAUUAUUUAAAUGUUGUCAGCACCCCCACAUACUCAGUACAUUUCCAAGUACUGAUUCCCAUACUCUUCUGUGUUCUAUAUUUUCUCGUGAUGUAAGUUCAGGUGCUCAGUCUCAUCCGCGAUAGUGAUCUUCAAGUACCUACAUCUACAUUCAUACAGUUGGUGAGUCCUCAUGGUUCGAUGACCUAUGUCCCCAAUUUUUUUCUUGAUAGUAGAUGGUUAUUUAUUUCCAGUUCAGUACAGGUCAGUUGGGGAUCUGUCCUAAUGGCUCCUCAGUUUUAUGUAGUAGAGGCUUUGUCAUACUAGAGUACCAGUUUGUAUAGAACUUCAGUAUUUUGAUUGUACAGGAUAGUAUUUCUUUGUAUUUCAGUAUGUUCAUGAUAUGAUUAUUCUUCUUUAUUACAACUUGAUUAUUGUCAUAGUGAGUUAUAAAGGAGAUGACAGGCUCAGAGGGUUAGCUUGAGGUCCCGUGUGGCCUUAAGCACCGUGUGACAUCUUGGGAUAGGAUCUUGGGGCGUUACAGUAUCCCAAAAAAAGGGGUAUGACUAUAGUAGCCAAUGAGAAGAAUGAAUUAAUUCGACCUAGACCUAUCAUAGGUUGGAGAAUAUGCAUGGACUACAGAAAAUUAAACUCUUGGACUCUGAAGGAUCAUUUCACAAUGUCUUUUAUUGACCAAAUAUUUUAUUUAUUAGUAGAUGGGGUUGGUAUUGCAUCUAUGAUAGUUAUUCAGGAUACAACCAAAUGCCCACUGCACCAGAAGACAAAGAAAAGACUAUAUUUACAUAUGAAUAUUGAACCUUUACAUUCAAGUCGAUGCCCUUUGGGUUGUCUAAUGUGCCGAUUAUAUUUCAAAGGUGAAUGAUGUCAAUUUUUUUAGAUAUGGUGGAGGACACUUUGGAAGUGUUCAUGAAUUAUUACUCUUCAGAAGGUGAUUUUGUAAUAAAUACUUGGCAAAUCUAAAUAAUGCCUUGAAGAAAUGUGAAUAGUUUAAUCUUGUUCUCAACUAGGAAAUUGUAACUUUAUCAUAAAAGAAGGAAUUUUGUUGAGGUGGAAGAUUUAUGUUAGAGUUAUUAAAGUCAAAUGAAUAAAAAUUGACAUGAUUUAAACUCUAUCCCCACCAAUCUUGGUGAAGGGUGUCUGUAAUUUUCUGGGUCAUGUAGGGUUUUAUAGGAGGUUUAUUAAAUACUUCUCCAAGAUUUCCAACCCUUUGUGAAAAUUAUUUGGGAAGGAGGUCAAUUUCUUGUCAAAUGAUGAUUUUCUUAAGGCAUUUUAGUGCCUUAUACAAAAGGUUGUUGCUUCCCCCAUUAUCUGUAAUACCCCGAUCAUUCCUUAAGCCUAAAUCUGUCUUUUUGAAUGGGUAUGUAUGACUUCCAGAAUAAUUGAUGUUUAAACCAUGUUGUAUUCUCGAAUUUCCAUUUUUUCAUGUAGAGCAUUGAAUAAUCUUUCCAUUGAUACCAAUUUCAUCAAAAUCCAACAUCGGAUGAGUGAGAUAUGGCCGUUUUACUAAAUGUUAUCGGAUCGCCAGGUUUGGCGGUUGACCUAGUGGACCGUCAGGUCCUUGGUGUCCCAUCAAGUGUCCCAUCAAGCCAAUAUAGUAGCUCCCUUUGUUGGAUGUUGUGUGAUGGUCAAUGUGGUGGACAGUCACAAAGUUGACAGACCGUUAAGAUAUCUGUCCGACCAAGGCAGAAUGACCCAUUCCUAUGCCCCGAGUAACGGACGAUACGGUGGACCGUCAGUCCCUCUGAUGUACCAUCACUUCGACCGUCACACUGAGGUAGAACAUUCCAGUUUUGACACUCGAGCGAUGGACAACCUAGUGGACCUUCAGCUAAUCUGAAGGACCGUCAGAUCGACCGUCACAGGCCCCGAUCAGUAAAUUUCAGCAUUUUUCAAAAGGGCAUCUUUGUAAUUUCCACUCCUUGUGGCCUUAUAUAUAUAUCUAUGUAGAGAAGACAAUAUCAUUUUCUCUCCAUUUCUCUCCAAUUUUCUUUCAAGAAUUCUCUAGAAACCUAGGGUUUCUUCCAAACCCAAAAAUCAAAUCAUCUCUAAGAAAUUCAAGAAAUCUCCAAUAAAUUUCUUCAAGUUGUUCAAGAACUAUGUCCCUCAAUUCAAAGGUAACAUGGUCUUGAUCUAAAAGUGUAAGAAAGACAUUUCAAGCAAGUUUCUAUAUCUUCAAAAUAAAAAUCUAAGGUAUGCGGGGUUUGAACAAGAAUACUCCUUUCGUUCUUGUGCCUAAAGAUUUACUUUCUAUUAUUGAUUUACAUGAUAUUGCAAGUGGGUUUACAUCCAAAUAUCUCUAUUAAUGAUUUAUGAGAUUUGAGUUGAAUUAGUUUGAUAUUUAUGAUUAUUUCACUAUCAUGUUUCUUAAAUUGAGAAUUUAUUCCAUGAGCCAUAUAUUAUCAUUAUGUAUUGAUGAUUUCGAAGCAAUUUAUGUCAAGUUCCAUGAGUUGAAUAUUUUUAUUAUGAAUUGAUGAGUUUUGAAUGAUUUGAGACAAGUGUCAUGAGUUAUGCCUUUUCAUUAGAAAUUCGAUUAUUGAAUGUAUAUUGAUAUAUGAAAUUGAGAGGAAAGAAUGAGUCUUAUGAUGAUUCCAUGAAGUUUUUUAUAUUUGAAAUGAUUUGAUAAACAAAUGUACUUGAUAUUGAGAAAGCUUGUGUUGAGUUGAGUCGAGUUAGGAAUCCAGAAGAUGUUUAUGAUUUUUAGAUGAGAUAUAUAUUUUUGUUUUCGUCUUUAUAAUAGAACCAUGAGUUGAUAUUGAUUGAGGUGGAUUUUCUAACACAUUCUGAGCUGAGUCUGGGAGGAGUAUUUAGCACCGAGCGAGAAAUUUGGUAUUUUCCCAAAACUACGUGCCACCGUAGGAUUGAUGUUGAUAAUGGUGGGCAAAAUUCCGAGUAUGAGAUUGAGGUUGUACUCCCUGGCAAGAGUACAACACCCCUGCCAAUGUGGGGUUUUCUCCUUAGGUGGGCAAAACUUUGGACUCCAUGUGGCUCACAGGGUGUAGUCAUGUCGGUUAUAAGAAACUCCCACGUCCAUAAUGAUAUAAGUCUCUUGGGUUACCGAGUCACUCUGAGUUACAAGUUAAAGAGUUUGAGUUGAGUUAAAUGAGUUAUGAGAUUUAUGAAACACGUGUCAUUACUGAUGAUUUAUGGAAAUAAUGUUUCAGAUAAUUCAAGCGAAGAUAGUUAUUAUUGUCAGCAUGCAUGAUUUCUCAUACAUUUAUGAUAUUAUUUAAAAUGUUGCAUCCACCCCUACAUACUCAGUAAAUUCCCAAGUACUGACCCCCAUACUUCUUUGUAUUCUGUAUUUCCUCGUGAUAUAGGUUCAGGUGCUCAGUCUCAG